UACGUAGGCAGCAAGCGUUGUUCGGAGUUACUGGGCGUAAAGAGUGCGUAGGUGGUGCCCUAAGUCUGUUGUGAAAUCUCCCGGCUUAACUGGGAGGGUGCGGUGGAAACUGGGGUGCUUGAGUGUGGGAGAGGUAAGCGGAAUUCCUGGUGUAGCGGUGAAAUGCGCAGAUAUCAGGAGGAACACCGGUGGCGAAGGCGGGUCUCUGGGCCGAUACUGACGCUGAGGAGCGAAAGCGUGGGGAGCGAACAGG
rnacentral:rRNA from 1 species